GAGAGGUACCGAUAAUCUUGGAAUUAUGAAUUAUAGAAAAGAAUUUCUCGCAAAUCAAGAUUCAAAAACACGAAGAUAAAAAACCAAAUUAUUGAAAUAUGUGCUAUGAAAUUCUUGCUUAACAUGUAAUUCGGAUUAAAACAAAAAAAAAAGAUGUAUGUAUAAUAAUAUUAAUAUCUAAUAUCUUUUCCAAAUUUUAAUAAAACUACAAUUUCUAAUUUAAUUAUAUACAGGGGUACAUAACAUAUAGAAAAUAGCAGAGUUUUAUGAUAUACAUAUAUGAUUUUGUUCAAGAGUAAAACUAAGAAAACAUCCUCCCCAGAGAAUCUUUCAUUAAAUUUACAUACAUAUACAUAUAAAAUUAGUCAAAAAAUCCAUCGUUAAAAGAAACGGGAUACUUUAUACAAUACUGAUCUAUUUUAAGCAAUGCGGAGAAUCUUCGACAAAAAUACGUUCACAGAUAUAAAAUUAGAAGAAUUAAAGAUUUGGGACGAAAUCAUAUGAUCGUAAUAUAAACAUUCUGUACAAAAGAGACAAAAAACAGAGAGAGAAAGAUUUUCUCUUACCUCUUUAUCCAGAUACGUUCAAUUCGCUCCUUCUGUCCUGAGUCACAUAUUCUAAACGAAGGUAGAGCACUAUUGAAGAAAGGGCACCAGGAGAACCAGGCCAGAAGAGAGAUAGAGUGCGGGUAGGGGGACGAGAACGAGUGCAAUGCAUCGCGGUCACUCCAGUGACCUAGUAAUGUCCGCCGCGACCUUAGUUGCGACGUGUUCACCCGUUUAAACCACCCUUCGUCCCCCUCUUUUCCCCAGUCCCCGUUUCCCCUCGCCAUCAUCAUUCUCCUACUCCCCCUCUUGCUCCCUUUCUCCUAUCCGCACCACACGUGACACCAGUAUGGCGCGAGGGGGCGAAGGGGGCCAGGCGUGGGAUAUUCUCGCAAGGUGCGGAAAGGGGGAAUCAAGAGAAAGAGAGAGAGAGAGAGAGAGAGAGAGAAAAAGCGAAAAGGGCGAGCAGGGAGAGGAUGAUAUAUACAAAACACAAGGUCGCAAGAGAAGUGCGAUUGUGUGGACGGCCGUGUCGGUGAAGAUGCGGUGUGACGUAACAUUCGGCGACGACGCGAACACGUGAUUCGCACGGUGGUUAUCAUGGUGUUUACCAUAUGACAUUGCCCCUAUUCACCAAUGUCUUUCGUCGGAUCUCCAUAUUGUUUAAGUUUAAAGUCUGUGGAAAAAGUGAGGAAUGUGAAAUGAAAUGGUAUAGAAUUCGUACAAAUCGAUCAGUAGACCGAGAUAGAUUUAUAAUAUGCUCUAAAUUAAGCAGCACUUAUUUGGAAGAAAAAGGAAACAAGUCCACAAGAGUUCUAUAAAACGAUAUUUUGGAAAUUAGUACUACGUAGUAAAUUUGGAACUGGUAUUUGAGAAAUUUUGCAAAACAGCCGGUGCAGGGUAGAAAUCUAAUCGUUUCGAGCGGAUACACUCUUACCUGGCGAUAUGCCCGGAAAAUCCCCAAAGGUGGAAACGGAGCCGAGAUAGAAGAGCCUGGGGACUAAGGACGGAAAAGGGAUGGAGUACGGAACAUAAUCUCCCAGCGGUAUUCUCGGACCCUCUGCCGGGGUAGCAAAAGCUCAUUAGAAGUCGCCCUUUGAAAAUCGUCCUGUUACAAGCAGCUGCCGUACGGCGCAGUAACGGACGCUUCAUGGCGCUAUUUUUCCAGGGACGUCGCUCAAAGGGACGACAAAGAGCCGGUCGGACCGUAAGCCUUGAAGGGCGGCAGCCCUACGAAGGGGAAACGGGUUCCAUGCUGCCGCCAAAGUCUUCAAUGGGACCCUAUGGAA